CCCUUUCCUGCUCUCCAGGACAGUCUUGUGGCCAUCCAGGCUUUAUUGGGAUGCUCACAGAUGGCCUGGCUUCUUUCUAAAGAAGCAUCAGUUGCUUUUAUCCCUGCCAGUGAGAUUUCAAUAACAAAACCAACUCCUGGUUCCUGUUGUUGCCUACCUGCCUCCCCAGGGGGGAUGUGGAGUUCAGGUCCAUUCCAUGUGGCUGCAGAGAAGGAGAAUUGUGUUCAAGGCACUGUUUUGCAGAGGAUAAUCUACCUGUGAGGGGCUGGCAGGAAUAACCUCGCUGGAGAAAGGAGAACGGGAUCCCCACGAGCUGGGGGUGGGUUGUUGCUCCUGAGCACUUCUGUGGGCAGAGCACAGACGAACCACAGGGACACCCAGCCCUGAAAAAGAAGAGAAAAUUAAUUUCUGUUAUGGUCAAAAUCCAAGAAAAUAUUGCCUUUUAUGUAGCCUUGGAACUCUUCUAGAUCAAGUACCUUGUCAUCCUCUUAACAUACACAUACACACAGAGAAAUAUCUGCUGAUUAAUAGCCUGGAUCCAUUUUAGUGGAUCCCUGGUCAGCUGUGCAAUAUGUAUUUCUACUCAAAACCAGAAUUUGACUCCUAUAAGCAACCUAUUUCCAUCAGUGAAUUUUCAUCC